UGAGUAACCUGCCCUUAACUCUGGGAUAAGCCUGGGAAACUGGGUCUAAUACCGGAUAUGACUCCUCAUCGCAUGGGUGGGGGGUGGAAAGCUUUUUGUGGUUUUGGAUGGACUCGCGGCCUAUCAGCUUGUUGGUGAGGUAAUGGCUCACCAAGGCGACGGACGGGUAGCCGGCCUGAGAGGGCGAUCGGCCACACGUGGGACUGAGACACGGCCCAGACCUCCGUACGGGGAGCAG
rnacentral:rRNA from 1 species